UUGAUACCCAAGCCGCGCCAUUUUGCAUUUAACACUCUCUCAUUUUAUCCGGAAGUUGAAGAAAGAAGUGGACCCCGCACAGAAGUUUAAGAAUAUUCAGUAGUUUUGAAGUGUUUAUUCAUUUUUAAAGUAAUAAAUAUGUCUAGAUAUCGCGAGUGGGAUCUAUCUUGCAAAGUUUACGUUGGUAAUUUGGGAUCGUCGGCUAGCAAACACGAAAUCGAAAGCGCUUUUAGCAAAUAUGGCCCGUUAAGGAACGUUUGGGUCGCCAGAAACCCGCCGGGAUUCGCUUUCGUAGAAUUCGAGGAUCCCCGUGAUGCCGAAGACGCAGUUAGAGGCUUAGACGGAACGAGGAUUUGCAGUGCUAGAGUACGUGUUGAAAUGUCUAAUGGAAGAUCAAGACGUGGUGGAGGUCGCAGGGGUCCACCUAGAUUCUCCAGUUGCAGGGCGGCAUCAACCGCAAUAGUACCGCUGCUGUUGUUUUCUCCCCCCUGAAAGAAAAAAAGCGAACAGGCGAAAAAAUAAAGCGAAAAGUGCGUCUUCACUGAGCCCCACAAUCGAGUCAACUUAAAAAAGUUUAAAAAAUUAUAAAAAAAAGUAAAAUCAACCAAUUCAACCAAUCAAUCAAUCAACCCUUCUUCUCCUGGCAACCACAACCACAUCUCAUCAUCUUUGUUACUACAUCGUCUUCACUCGACAAUUACGAGCAGCGGCGGUUCUUCUGCCCCAUUUUCUUUUUUUUUACAACAACAAAAAAAGGAUUUGGGCAACCCACCAACCACCACCACCACCAACCACCAACUUUCCACCACUACUACUACUACUACUACUACAAUUCAAAUUCAAUUCAACAUGCCACCGAAUAAGAUAAAUCGACUUUCAAAAUUACUACUUCUACUACUACUACUACCGCUACUACAAUUUCGACUUCUGUUUGAAGUACGACGGGUCCAGGUCACCAAGAAGAUCACGAACUCCGAGAUCGAGGAGUCGUAGCAGGGACAGAAGAAGCCGUUCAGAUUCAAGAGAUAGACGUUAGAGAAAUAAUAAUAAAAAAAAAGAUUUUUUUAAGGUC